rnacentral:rRNA from 1 species
UACGGAGGGUGCGAGCGUUAAUCGGAAUUACUGGGCGUAAAGCGCGCGUAGGCGGUUUGUUAAGUCAGCUGUGAAAGCCCCGGGCUCAACCUGGGAACUGCAGUUGAUACUGGCCGACUAGAGUAUGAAAGAGGGAGGUAGAAUUCCAUGUGUAGCGGUGAAAUGCGUAGAUAUGUGGAGGAAUACCGGUGGCGAAGGCGGCCUCCUGGCUUAAUACUGACGCUGAGGUGCGAAAGCGUGGGGAGCAAACAGG